AAGGAGUUAGUUAAAAUAUAACAUUAGAAUGUCAGUCUAAAAUAACUAAAAUAGUACACCUUG
rnacentral:tRNA from 1 species